rnacentral:lncRNA from 1 species
AGGAGUAGUCCUAUGGGAUUUGAGAAGCUAAGUCUCUGAAUUUGUGGCCACAGUAGAGUGAUUGAUAGAAAAGAGUUUCUAUAGACAUCACAUCUGGACUUGAACUAAUCAAAUCUAUCAUAUGACUGAUGUUGAGGUUUGAUGAUUUAUCCAUAACCUGCCAUCUAGUCGGGACUCACGAUAGAGGAACUGAAUCACAUAUUAACUACACCUAGAGGUUCAUUUUAAUUAUAUUGGAUUGCCACUACAUACUACUAGGUGUCACUGAU